CAUCGUUUUUUCUUCCACCAAAACCAGCGAAACACCAUCAAUCAGACCAUUCCUCCUCGAGAAAAUUGAUAUGAAUUGAAAUUGGAUUUGUCAAAAUUGGUCUUCAUACCAACUUCGAUUCGAUUUCAAUUCAUACUAAUUUCGUUUUCAUACAGCAGAUACACUUUCAUAUCUCUAUCAAAUUUUCUGUUCCUCAACAGAUCUUAAUGAAACCUCAUCUUGAUAAUUUGACUCGGAACAUACUCACGAUCUUCAGUUACACCUUCAGAUUUGAACAUGAUGAAUCUUCGAAGACAUUGGUGAAAACUUUACAAGGUUGUGUUUCAAGUUCUCAUGCACGUCGAAGCUCAAGACCAAUUAAGCCACCUCAACUUGAAGAGCUAACCGAGGAUGACAUGGGAAACCAGGGAGUGCAGUUGUUAGAAGGAACAUAUGAAACUAGCCAGCGCGGUCAUUUGUAUGUUACUAUGGCUGGAGAGUGUGAAAGGAUAUGAUAACAUUCUUAUGAACUGAAAAUCAAAGCCAAUCAAAUUUUUGCUUGCGUUUCUUCAGUAACAAGCUGCUUCUGUAGCCUGUUGUUGGUUAUUAUAAAUCACACAUUUCCAGUGUCUUCAGCAGCCUGUAAUUAGAUGUGUCUGUUUUAUAAAUGGUGCCCUGCUAUGAUGCAGCAUUUAAGAGGUUUUACGACAAACAAAGGUGAAGAAGCUUCUUUAUAUCUUGUGAUGAUUUACGCGAAAGAUGGGUGUACCUUGAAAACAAAGGUUUGGAGAACGAAACUGCGAGCCUUUAUCAACUUCUGCCCUCAUUGAUGUAUUGUGAAUGUAGCUCCAGUAGAUUGGAAAGUUUCUCUCCUUCACUUCUAUUUUGGCAAUGAAUUGGUGCUUGUUUUUCUUAUCAUAUAUGAAACACAUGCCAUUAUCGAAGUAUAGUGAAUACCCAUUUUCUCCCAUCUGACCAACACUUAACAGAUUGGUUUUGAGAUUGGGAACCAGGAAAACAUCUUUGAUUAGUCGUACUGGUAAGUAUGAUCCAAUCGUUACUGCCAUUGAAGAGUCGAAUGACAUCGCGACUCUCUCGGUGACAGAACUUAUGAGUUCUCUCAGCUAUCCCUAAACUAGACUCACAAAUUCUCCAAAAUUUGUAAUCUAACAUCCCAACAAUCAUAUACCGUGACGAUUCAAUAUGCUUCAACUUCUAGCGUUGUGUUGCUUA